rnacentral:rRNA from 1 species
CAGCCGCCGCGGGAACACGAAGGGGGCUAGCGUUGCUCGGAAUUACUGGGCGUAAAGGGAGCGUAGGCGGACAUUUAAGUCAGGGGUGAAAUCCCAGAGCUCAACUCUGGAACUGCCUUUGAUACUGGGUGUCUUGAGUGUGAUAGAGGUAUGUGGAACUCCGAGUGUAGAGGUGAAAUUCGUAGAUAUUCGGAAGAACACCAGUGGCGAAGGCGACAUACUGGUCCAUAACUGACGCUGAGGUGCGAAAGCGUGGGGAGCAAACAGGAUUAGAUACCCGGGUAGUCCCUGUCUCUUAUAA